rnacentral:lncRNA from 1 species
UUGAAUCAAAAUUCAAUCAAAUAGAGCAAAGUAGUUAGGUUAUCAGAAUCAAAGUAAACCCCGAAGAAUGGAUUUUUCGUUGGUGACAUAAGAUUGAAUUGUAGAAAGAAUCAUGCGAAUAAUUAUUUAUUUUUUGUUUACCGAUAUUACUGCUUACGAAUCAGUAAACCCCUAUCAACAAGAUCAAAAGCGAAUUCUUCCUUCCGUGCAAUUAUAAUUAAUUAGUCGAGGCAAAUAAAAGAAUUUCAUCUUCCUCUUUUACGUAUGUAUAUAUAAUUCAAAUAUCAAAUAGAGAAAUAUAGAAAAUGAAAAUAUAGAUAUAGAGUCUUACAUCUUUUUACAAUUCCAUGCUUAUUAAUAAAAAUUCUGUUGUUGGAUCAGAUUCUAAUAAAUCUUUCGGGAAUUUGUAAUGGAAUAAAUUCUUUCUUUAUUAAUUCAAAUUAGAAGACAAAAAGGAACAAUAGAAUAAUAAUAAUAAUAAAUAAUCAAAAAAGUGGAUUAUUAUACAUCUAUUUCAUUUAUAAAGAUGAAUAAGUCCAUUUAUUUAGUUCUACAUUUCUUGUACCUAUUAGAUAUAUAUAUAUUCACUUAGAUAUACUUAUAUAUAAUAUACAAAUUCGAAUUAUUAUAAGAUAAGAUAUCUUUAGAAUUAAGAAUAUAACAAUAACAGGUACAAAUAUGAAAUUGAGGUAUCCAUUCUAUGACAAACUUACCCUCUAUUUUUGUGCCUUUAGUGGGCCUAGUAUUUCCGGCAAUUGCAAUGGCUUCUUUAUCUCUUCAUGUUCAAAAAAAUAAGAUUGUUUAGAUCUGAUGAGACAAAAUCUCAUCUAUUUUUUUUUCAUUUUCAAGACUUAGACAACACAGAUAUCUAUUUAGUAGAAUAUUGUAUAACAUGUAGAUUACUCCGAAUAUAAAUGAAAAAAAGCUCUUAUGCAUGCGUAAACAUGAUAUAUGGGUAAAUGAAUUAUAGCUAUUUUCAAAAAUAGAUCGCGAUCGGGCGGAUGUAUGAAAUUAAAGUCAAUGUAUCUAUAUGUCUGUAUAUAUCUAUAGUGGAUAUAUGAAGGGGAUGUUAGAUCUAACUAAUUCUAUGAAUUACCCCUAAAGGUUCACAUCAAAAUAGUGCUAGUUGAUGAGAGUUACUUCGGAAACAAAAAAAAGUAAAGUAAACUUUUGGUUAUUCUCUCAAUUCCAAUAAAAUGCAACUGGAUCUAAUAUGUAUGAGUUGGCGAUCAGAAUCUAUAUGGAUAGAAUUUAUAGCGGGGUCUCGAAAAACAAGUAAUUUCUGCUGGGCCUUUAUCCUUUUUUUAGGUUCAUUAGGAUUCUUAUUGGUUGGAACUUCCAGUUAUCUUGGUAGGAAUUUGAUAUCUUUAUUUCCGUCUCAGCAAAUAGUUUUUUUUCCGCAAGGGAUUGUGAUGUCUUUCUAUGGGAUCGCGGGUCUCUUUAUUAGUUCCUAUUUGUGGUCCACAAUUUUGUGGAAUGUAGGUAGUGGUUAUGAUCGAUUCGAUAGAAAAGAAGGAAUAGUGUCUAUUUUUCGUUGGGGAUUUCCUGGAAAAAAUCGUCGCAUCUUUUUACGACUCUUUAUGAAAGAUAUUCAGUCCAUCAGAAUAGAAGUUAAAGAAGGUAUUUAUGCUCGUCGUGUCCUUUAUAUGGACAUCAGAGGCCGGGGGGCUAUUCCUUUAACUCGUACUGAUGAGAAUUUCACUACACGAGAAAUUGAGCAAAAAGCUGCUGAAUUGGCCUAUUUCUUGCGUGUACCAAUUGAAGUAUUUUGAAAAAAAAAAACUGAAGACUAAAUGCUUUAGCAGCAGGAGUCAAAAACUCAAGAAUUUUUUUUUUCUAUAGCAUAACUUAACUCAAGUUUCUUCAGAAUGCCCAGUCAAGUGAAAGCAGAUGUAUACGGAAUAGUUCUAAUAAGAGCAUAAAACGAAACUAUACUAUUUUCUUUUUGCGGACAAAAAUAGUUUUUUUGUCCGCAAAAAGAGUUUUUUAUGCGUAUGCAAAUCCAUUCAACCCAAUGGAGUAACAAAACAAGUAACAAAUCGAAAUAAUGAUUCAUCUCAUAUAUUAAAGCGUUUCGAAAUAAAGAAUUUAUCUUUUUAUUUUCAAUAUUUGGAAUUGAUACGUUAGACGUUAGAUACAGAUCGAUUCUAUCUUGUAAAUUAUCUCUACUUUAUUUUCUCAAUUGACCCUUCAGCCUUUCUUUUGUGCUCCUUAAUUUAAUGACCAAAGAAUUGUAUCUCUUUCUUAUAACGAAAACUUUUCUGUCUGUUUUUUGCCACUCAUUUUUUAUCAUCACAAUAUUCUUCAUAAAUUUCUCUCAAUUAUUUCCGUAUUAUAGUAUAGGUAGCAAACCACUUUUUUCGACAUAUUUGAUAGAAAGGAAGUUCUUUCGUCUCGAAAUCCGAAUAAUAUUCAUUAUUUGAAGUGGUUCUUUUGGGCAUUCAUCGAAAGAAGUGCUUCGAACCUGAAAACAAUAUUUUUUUUAUUAUUUCUUCAUUGGAAUUCGAAGUUCAUUCUUGUUCUUAGUCUAUUUCUGUAUUCUUUCUAGAUUCAAAGACUAACCAUUGAAUCACAAAUAAAAAAACAAAGAAUAGAUUCAUAGGCUCGAUAGUUAUAUUAUAAUAGAACUCAUGCUUGAUAUAAAUAUUAGAUCGCAUAGAGUCAACAAAUGAGGUAGGUUCAUUAAAAAUUCACAGAUGAAAAAUGGCAAAAAAGAAAGCAUUCAUUCCUUUUCUAUAUCUUGCAUCUAUAGUAUUUUUGCCCUGGUGGAUCUCUCUCUCGUGUAAUAAAAGUCUGAAAACUUGGAUUACUAAUUCGUGGAAUACUCGGCAAUCCGAAACUUUUUUGAAUGAUAUUCAAGAAAAGAGUCUUCUAGAAAAAUUCAUACAAUUAGAGGAACUCUUCCUGUUGGAUGAAAUGAUAAAGGAAGACCCGGAAACCCAUUUACAAAAGCUUCGUAUAGGAAUCCACAAAGAAACGAUCCAAUUCAUCCAGAUGUACAAUGAAGAUCGUAUCCAUACAAUUUUGCACUUCUCGACAAAUAUACUCUGUUUUGUUAUUCUAAGUGGUUAUUCUAUUCUGGGUAAUGAAGAACUUCUUAUUAUUAACUCUUGGGUUCAAGAAUUCCUAUAUAAUUUAAGCGACACAAUCAAAGCUUUUUCUAUUCUUUUAUUAACUGAUUUAUGUAUCGGAUUCCAUUCGCCUCACGGUUGGGAACUAAUGAUUGGUUAUAUUUACAAAGAUUUUGGAUUUGCUCAUAACGAUCAAAUUAUAUCUGGUCUUGUUUCCACCUUUCCAGUCAUUCUAGAUACAAUUUUUAAAUAUUGGAUCUUCCGGUAUUUAAAUCGUGUAUCUCCAUCACUUGUAGUGAUUUAUCAUUCAAUAAAUGACUGAAAAAAAAUUCACUGAUCCAAUUCUAAUGUUUCUUACUUUGUACAUAAACAAAGCAUUCAAAGUCGUAUUUACUUUACUCUUUCUACCCACGGGGGGAUUCUCCUAUAUAUUCCAAUAAAAUUCUUUCAGUAAAUGUAAAUAGCAGAAUUGUGGAUAGGGAACUAUACUAGCGACCUACCAAAUUUUAUUGUAGAAAUUUUCGGGAUCAAUCAUUGGACCAUGCAAACUAGAAAUACCCUUUCUUGGAUAAAGGAAGAGAUUACUCGAUCCAUUUCCGUAUCACUCAUGAUAUAUAUAAUAACUUGGGCAUCCAUUUCAAAUGCAUAUCCCAUUUUUGCGCAGCAGGGUUAUGAAAAUCCACGAGAAGCAACAGGGCGUAUUGUAUGUGCCAAUUGCCAUUUAGCUAAUAAGCCCGUGGAUAUUGAAGUUCCACAAGCGGUACUUCCUGAUACUGUAUUUGAAGCAGUUGUUAGAAUUCCUUAUGAUAUGCAACUGAAACAAGUUCUUGCUAAUGGUAAAAAGGGGGGUUUGAAUGUGGGAGCUGUUCUUAUUUUACCGGAGGGUUUUGAAUUAGCUCCCCCCGAUCGCAUUUCGCCUGAGAUGAAAGAAAAGAUAGGCAAUCUGUCUUUUCAGAAUUAUCGCCCUACUCAAAAAAAGAUUCUUGUAAUAGGUCCUGUUCCGGGUCAGAAAUAUAGUGAAAUCACCUUUCCUAUUCUUUCCCCAGACCCCGCUACUAAUAAAGAUGUUCACUUCUUAAAAUAUCCCAUAUAUGUAGGCGGGAACAGGGGAAGGGGUCAGAUUUAUCCUGACGGGAGAAAAAGUAACAAUACAGUUUAUAAUGCUACAGCAGCGGGUAUAGUAAGCAAAAUUUUACGAAAAGAAAAGGGGGGAUACGAAAUAACCAUAGUGGAUGCAUCGGAUGGACGUCAAGUGGUUGAUAUUAUCCCCCCAGGACCAGAACUUCUUGUUUCCGAGGGCGAAUCCAUCAAACUCGAUCAACCAUUAACGAGUAAUCCUAAUGUGGGUGGAUUUGGUCAGGGGGAUGCAGAAAUAGUACUUCAAGAUCCAUCACGUGUCCAAGGCCUUUUGUUCUUUUUGGCAUCCGUUGUUUUGGCACAAAUCUUUUUGGUUCUUAAAAAGAAACAGUUUGAGAAGGUUCAAUUGUCCGAAAUGAAUUUCUAGAUCCGUGGAUUUAUCAAUAUCAAAUUCGUAAAAAAGAAGCAAAUUCUUGUUGGCAAUUAGGUAUGAUCAAAAAAUUUAUGAAAAACCUUUUGCCUGUUUAUAUAUUUUUUUUUUCUACCAGAAUCGGAUGUCACGAAUUACUUAUACCGCAUUCCUAAUCAUAGUAUGUAUAUUGUGAACAACUGACUUUACCCGCUCUUUUUUUAAUCCAACUAAAUUGGAAAGGGUGGGGGGUGACUAUUGUUAGAUUGAAAUGUCAUAGAAUGUAUUAAGAAUCAGGAGUUUUGUUUUCUAUUCUACUAGAAUCAAAUUCGACUAGAUACUAAACAUAAGAUAAGUAAGCGGAGAAAAUAAAGGAAGGAUAAAUGAGGGGAACAAAUAAUUAUAGGGAGUAUUAUUCGUCUUCCUAGUCUUCGACGCAAGAAAGGGAAUUUGACACAUACCUUUCUUGUGUCGAUCUUGUGCCCAAUUCUUAGUUUAUAUUUUUUUUUCAGGUUUAUGAGUUUAUGAGAACUUUUUUUUAGAUUUUUUUAGAUUUACAUAUAAUUAAGCAAAAGUAGUGGACAAACAAAAAAAAGAGAGGGAAUUUUUUUGAGAAAAUAGAACCUCUUCAAUGAAAUAUAAAAAAAUGGAAAUGGAGUUUUUUUGAAACAUCGAAAAAAGUGAUUUCUUUUUUGUCAUUUAUAUGAACAAACUCUUAUAAUUAUUAGGAAUUCAACGGGACCCUUCCCCUCGAAUCAGACAAAGAAAGAAGAGUUGGGCCCCGUUGAGUUCUUAUGCUUUCAUGUCUACAACUCAGUUCAUCCGAUUACUACAAGGACGAACCCAAUCCAGAAUAUGAACCAUAAAAGAAAAUACCUAUUAAACCAAUCACAGGAAUACCAGUUACAGUACCUAUUAUCCAAAGAGGAAUCCUUCCAGUAGUAUCAGCCAUCUAUCCCGCUUCCCUCCACAUUUCAUCAAGUGGUCAUGCUAGAAACAUAAACAGUCAUAGAUAAUUAUGAGAUGUGAUCCUUCCGAAUGGGAUAAGAAAAUUCCUACUAUUAGUUAUUUUAUUAUUCUACUACUCUCUUUUCUUCUCUUAAUUGAAGAAAUAAUUGGAAAAUAAAACAGCAAGUACAAAAAUGAGUAAUAACCCCCAGUAUAGACUGGUACGAUUCAAUUCAACAUUUUGUUCGUUCGGGUUUGAUUGUGUCAUAGCUCUCUAUAAUUCGAAUUAGGUUUAUCGUUGGAUGAACUGCAUUGCUGAUAUUGACCCCAAAAAAGAAACGGUAGGUACAGCUAAUCCAUGAACAGCCAACCAUCGUACUGUAAAAAUUGGAUAGGUUCGAUCUAUGGUCAUAGGGUCCUCCUAAAAAGAUCUACUAAAUUCGUCGAGUUGGUCCAAAGAAUCAAAACGGCCAGUUAUUAAUGGAAUUCCUUGUCGGCUCUCUGUAAAAUACUCGUUUGGACGAGGGCUUCCAAACACAUCGUAAGCUAAACCCGUGCUGACGAAUAACCAACCCGCAAUGAAUAGGGAAGGUAUAGUAAUGCUAUGAAUGACCCAGUAUCGAAUACUGGUAAUAAUAUCAGCAAAAGAACGUUCUCCUGUGCUUCCAGACAUGCUGAGCUCCACAUAUUCUUUAGGGGAUCGAUUCUGUAAAAGAUGAGAUCAGUAAAUGGAAAUUCACUGAAAUUGAAUCUUUGUGAGAUCGUCAAUAUUGUACCAAGGGUAUUUUUAGAGUAUACCGAAUCAGUAUAGCUAUCCUUCUUCUGACACAGCAACGCAAUUUCAAUUAGUAUCGAAAUGAAGUGCUAGAUAAUUUCUUUCUUUUUUUUUUCUUGCUUGUCGACGUAUAACCAUUGUACCAUUCAAUAGAGAAUUCCUCAAAUUCCUGCGGAUAGGGGUUCUUGCCAUUAUUGGUUUCGGACUACAAACUGAAAAUUAUAUAAAAUAUGAAUCCAAGAGUUCUAAUAAUUCAUGAAGAAAAUUAGAAUAUUUCCGCAAUUCAAUUGGAUACAAAAUCUAGAAAUCUCAGUUUCUUUGUGUAAUUGUAGAAGAGGUUUUUGGUUUCCGUUGUAAUGCAAUCCCCUCCCCCUUUUUUUCAUUUUAAGGAAUUAGUUAGUGGUCCAGUAACAAGUAAGAGUAGUGGAUAGUACUCGAUAAAAGGAAGAGAAGAACGAAUCAAAAAAUCCUAUUAAUCAAUAUUGUAAUGCGUGCAUUGUUUUGUUGUAUUAGAUCCAAAGGUCUUUUUUUUUACCUAACUACAAAGAUGGGAUUUUAUACUUUAUAUAAAAUCUGGAUAUAUAAUCUGGAAAGACAAAAAAUCUAGAAAGGAAAAGAUAAUAGAAAUUCCUAAUUACUUUAAUUUAAAAUUUCAAAAAUCUAGUUAAAAUAAAGACUUGAUUUUUUUGAGUGAUCUCAUCGUGCGAUACCCUUUUUUCUUCUCAUUCGAGAUAUUAUGUGAAUGAACCUACUCUACUAUUGAAUCUAAUGAGUUAAAAUUAAAGUAAAUUCCAUAUUCAAUUUUAAUAAAGUAAAAAAGUAAAUAAAAAAAGGUAUUAUAGGUUAUAAGAUAAGGUCACUUUUGAUUCUAAAAUCGAAAAGAGAUUCGAAACAAUUAAAAAAAAGAAGGAAUCAAAGAAAUGAUUUUCCAAUUUUUUACAUAUUCAUUCAAAAAAAGUUACAUGUUUUGAAUGAAGUUACAUGACAUAGUUCUUAUUAUUUUUAGUAUUAGUUUACUCAAGAGUUUCCCAAUGAAUCCAUUGCGUUGAUUCGGAAUCAUGCCCGGGAUGGGCAGAUGUCACAGAUGCUGAAUUGAUUUCUUUUUCUACUUCUGUUACUCUAUGUUUGUUAAUACCGCCUAUAAUAAUUAAUAGCCUAUAAUAAUUAAUAAUUGAUCAGUGAAAAAUUUUCAAUUGAAAAUUUGUAUUCUUUCAAGUGGUAUUUUUGCUUAUCCCCGUUUCUUUCAAAAAUGGAAACUUAGGAAAGUGCUUUAGAAACAUAUGGAUAAAAAAAGAACAUAUUUCAUUUAGCCCCUUCAUGCCUACUAUAACUAGUUAUUUCGGUUUUCUACUAGCAGCUUUAACUAUAACCUCAGCUCUAUUUAUUGGUCUAAGCAAGAUACGGCUUAUUUGAAAUUAAGUGAAUGAAUAGUUUAUUAAAAAAAAAAAUCUUUCUGUGGUAUUCCAUAUAUUCGAAUAGUUCCUUACUUUAACGUGGUAAUUACCUUAAUUACCAAUUAUUGGUCAUUGAAAUUCAUGGGCAAUACGGAUUUCUAUUUAGGGAUAGAUAUUACCUCUCUUUUUCCCCUUUCAAAAAAAAAAUUAGAAAUGAUUGAAGUUUUUCUAUUUGGAAUCGUCUUAGGUCUAAUUCCUAUUACUUUGGCUGGAUUAUUCGUAACUGCGUAUUUACAAUACAGACGUGGUGAUCAGUUGGACCUUUGAUUAAUUAACAUCUCUUUUUUUUUUGUUUUGACUGACCUCCUCCUUUCUUUAAUUCGCGGGAGGUCAAAUUCAGAUUCAGAUUGCUGUUCAAUUAUUUGAGUUCAACCUUCCUUUCGACCUAACAAAUAAGAGCGGAAUCACGCUCUGUAGGAUUUGAACCUACGACAUUGGGUUUUGGAGACCCACGUUCUACCGAACUGAACUAAGAGCGCCUUCUUAUCACAAUAGAUAAGACUAUAAAUAUAAAGACGAGUAUUCUUUUUUUUUUUUUAACCCCAAUACAUUUUGCACGCCUAUACUAUUAUAUAGAAUAUCAUAAAAUUCAAAAAUAAUGUAUGUCCGAUUUGAAUUUUAUUUAAUCGAUCUAAAAUUGAUCCCUCGUUACUGCUCAGAGGAGAAGUAAUAGGUAGGGAUGACAGGAUUUGAACCCGUGACAUUUUGUACCCAAAACAAACGCGCUACCAAGCUGCGCUACAUCCCUUUCAAUUGGUCUACAGUGUCAUUGUAGAGAAUCCCUGUCUUGUUUUCCACAUCCUUAUUUUCUCUAUUGAUAUACAAAAUUUCUUUGCUCAUUUCUUAUUUUUUUUGGUCUCAUAUUAUAUAACAAACAUAUAAUAAAUAAGAAAUGAAUAUUUUUCGCGGGAAUUCUCUCAAUUCUAUUUUCAGGUGGAAAGGGGCGUAUUUUUCUGUUUUAAGAAAAGGAAAAUCUUAUCUAUCGAAUCGUUGUCCAUUUCAAUUUGAAUUUUGAAUUAGGGAUUGGGGAUUCCGCGUACAAAUACAAGUAUACAAGUAGUCCUUAACUACAUAUACAUCUGAUUAUAUAUGUAUUACCAUAAUGUAAUACAAUAAAGAAGAAAGAAGGAGGAUUUUAAAUGCGCGAUCUAAAAACAUAUCUUUCCGUAGCACCGGUACUAAGUACUCUAUGGUUCGGUUCUUUAGCAGGUUUAUUGAUCGAGAUUAAUCGUUUAUUUCCAGAUGCAUUGACAUUCCCCUUUUUUUCAUUCUAGUUAUUGACAUGGUAAGGGGUUAAGAAAUUUAGAGAUACAAUCAAAUAUCUGUAACCAAUCCCCCCCUUUUUUUAUUUUAGAAUUAGGUAGAAUAAGGAAGGGGGGGGGAAGAGAAAGAAAAAAAGGAUUCAACCUGAGCAAAACUAGGGUUCAGGAUCCAAUUAAAUUACUAAUAGAGCUAAAUUUCUAAUAAAGCGAAAACAGAAAUGUGGCUAGGACAACAGUAGCGUAUUCUACAAGAUACUAAAAUACUGUACAGCAAUUCUAAAAAUAGUUAGAAAAAAUAAAAAUUAUUGUAUUACUUAUUAUUAUUUUUUUUAUUUUUUAUUUAAUUUCUAUAUUCUAUAUUAAUAUUGAUUCCAACGAAAUAUUUCAUAAUUUGAUUUUGAGUUAGCAACUUCUACUUUUUUCGUUCCUUUAUUCUUCGCUUUGGAUCGGAAAAUAGAAGAUUGAGGUGAAUCAAAAAUCCAAAGGAGGUUUAUGGCCAAGGGUAAAGAUGCCCGAGUAACGAUUAUUUUGGAAUGUACCAGUUGUGUUCGAAACGGUGUUAAUAAGGAAUCAACGGGCAUUUCCAGAUAUAUUACUCAAAAAAAUCGACACAAUACGCCCAGUCGAUUGGAAUUGAGGAAAUUCUGUCCCUAUUGUUACAAACAUACAAUUCACGGGGAGAUAAAGAAAUAGAUCGAAUCAAGUGCUUGUAUGUCAAUUUUCCAAGGAACAUGAAAAAAAUAACAUUAGGUAUAUAUUAUUACAUAUAUUUAAAUAGAAACAAAUCAAAUAAAUAAAUAGAAACAAACAAAAUCCUAUUUAUAUUUAUUAAUUAUAUAGAUAAAUUUAGAAUUAUAUAUAUAAAUUAUAUAAAUAUAUAAAUAAUUCUAAAUUAUAUAAAUAUAUAAAUAAUUUUUUUUUUAAUCCGAUCGAAAUCGAAAUAGGAUUUUCGAAAUAAGGAAUAAACAAAUCAUGGAUAAAUCCAAGCGACUCUUUACUAAAUCCAAGCGAUCUUUUCGUAGGCGUUUGCCCCCGAUUCAAUCGGGGGAUCGAAUUGAUUAUAGAAACAUGAGUUUAAUUAGUCGAUUUAUUAGUGAACAAGGAAAAAUAUUAUCUAGGCGGGUGAAUAGAUUGACCUUAAAACAACAACGAUUAAUUACUAUUGCUAUAAAACAAGCUCGUAUUUUAUCUUCGUUACCUUUUCUUAAUAAUGAGAAACAAUUUGAAAGAAGUGAGUCGACCACUAAAACUACUGGUCUUAGAACCAGAAAUAAAUAGGCUUAUUCUUGAAUUGAAUCAAAAUUCCAAUCCGAACUCAGGGGCGGAUUAAUAUUAAUGUUUUGUUCGAAAAAUCCGAGAAUCAAAAUUUGAUUGUCGUGUCUGUCGUAAGAAAAAAAGAAAAUAAAAGAAUCGUCGAAGAAGAAUCAUUUAUUUUUUAUUGAGCAUAUUCGCUCAUUUUGCUUUGACGACUUUCUAUUUUAUCAUACUAAUUUCUACUCUACCUUCCCCAAGCUCAUUCUCCCCGGAACUCCAUUUAAAACAUUCCAUGGAUUCCUUCCAAUCUCCUUAUUUUCGAAUUUCAUUAGAAAUGGUAUAAAGACAACUCCUAUUUGAUAUAGCUAUUUGUGCAAGUAUUUUACGAUUAAGAAGCAACUGCUUCUUGUACAGAUUGUGUAUGAAUCUAUUAUAACUAUAGGAUACCCCAUCACCGCGAAUUACUGCAUUUAUUCGAGUGAUCCACAAACGACGAAAAUCUCUUUUUUUCCUACCUCUAUCCCGAUGAGCCGAAACCAAAGCUCUUAUUCUCUGUUGAGUAAUAGUUCGAGUAAGUCGUGAAUGAGCCCCUCGAAAGCUUGAUGCAAAUAAACGAAUUUUUGUUCUACGUCUCCGAGCUAUAUAUCCGCGUUUAAUUCUGGUCAUUGAAUAAAUGAAACUUUGAUGAAUAACUAAUUCUUUCUUUCAGUUAUUCUUUUCCCCUUUACUGGUCUAUUAAUAACAAAACUGAUUCUUCCAAUGUAUAAAAUAAAAAUUCCAAUGGCUUUUGCUGCUCUAACCUUCCCCCCCACGAUUUUAUCUUUUUUCUUUUCUAUUUCUAAGCAUUUCGCCUUGAAAUAAGAAAUUGUAUUGAUACUUGAUAUCAAAAAAGGUCUAAUAACUAAAAAAGGUAGUAAAUCGAAAUGAUAAAUAAAUAGUGGGUUCCAUCGUUUCUAUGGUUACUUCUUAAACGGUGAGGUCCUCUCUAUACACCGGAGCUCUUCCUUCAAUUAAUCAAUACUAUUGGUAACUUGUACAGUUCACACUCUUUGGCUCUACCCAUGAAUUUUCCAGUAAUAGGUCUUGUCUUUCACAACGAGAUCUACUUUAUCUUUAUACAGUAACGGUAUUUAAUUAUGAAGAUUAGUUGGGUAGCUGACCCUGUUAGUCCGUUCUUGCAAGAGUAGAAGCAUAAUCUUUCUGUUUAUUAAAAAAAAAUAGGAUUUCCCCCGCUUAAUGGAUAACCGUUUGUUACCAAUGGGGGAUUUUUUCUCCAAAAUAUAGGUGAUUGGAUUUGCACCAAUGGAAACCAUAAGUUUGAUACACAAUAGAAGGAUAUGAUAGAUCGAUCCUUUUUAGUUUUUAGAUAGUGAAUGGAAUUCCUCCAUUCUAUUUUAUUCACUGGUACUGAUCAUUGAUACUGACAAAAGAGUUUCCUUUCUUUUGUCUCAGCCAUGAUCUAAUCUGAACGAGUCGCACAUACACCCUAGUACACGUUCCUCGGCGCUGAGGACAUCCCCGAAGAGCGGGGGAUUUCGUGACAUUUCUGAUUGGCUGUCUUGUAUUUCUAAUAAGUUGUUUAAUAGUUGGCAUGCUGAAUCAUAUGUAUAAUGGGCUGGUUUAGAUUGAUCCUAACCGGAUGAUUCUGAAUUACUUCUAUUAAAUAUUCUAUUAAACGUUUAAUAGAAUAUUUAACUAAACCCUUAAAAAGUUAAAAUCUUAAAUUGUGGAUUUACGUGAAAUCAAUGCUAUUUUUUAUUGAACCGCUACAAGAUCAACAAUUCCAUAAGCUUGGGCUUCUGUUGCUGACAUAAAAACAUCCCUUUCCAUGUCUUCAGAUACAACCCAUAAGGGCUUGCCCGUUCUUUGUACAUAAACCCUUGUGAGGGUUUCGCGAAGUUUCAGUAGUUCUUCCGCUUCCAGGAUAAAUUCUCCCACUUGUGCCUCAUAAAAAGAACUAGCGGGUUGAUGGAUCAUUACCCUGAUGAUAGAAUGGUUCUUCUAUCUCGCCCGAUGAAGCGAGGAGGCGAGAUAACAAAUAAUGAGAAAAAAGAGAGAGAAUUGAACAACCGUACAGGCAUUUCUUGUGCAUUGCAUACGGCUCUACAAUGGAAUUCACGUUUUUACCUUUCAUUGAAGAAAGAGAAAAUAUAGGGUCUAUUAGACCCAGAUCAAUAAAUGAUCCAAUUACCACCCUUCUUUUUUCGGAGGAGUUAAAAAAAAUACUAUGAUGGCCCCGUUGCUUUAUUGCUUUAUAUAUUUAUUUCGUCUGUGAUUCAGCAAUCCCAAAGUUUCUUUUUUUGUACUUUUUCAUAACAUAAAUAUUAUUCGCAGCCUUCCGGUGUGAAAAAAAAGUUUGUGACGCUGAAAUGGGCCCCCGAUAGCUAACUAAGAUAAAAUUAGCUAAGAGAAAAUUGGAAAUACCCCUUAUCUCAUACUACUCUUUCGAUACAUAAUCUAAUAUUUUGAAAAAAAAAAAUUCAUAUCGAAUUCGAAGUGCCAUGCUAUUAUUACUUAUUAAUUCAUAUUUCAUAUGGCGAAGGCAUAGUCUUCUUUUUUUUUCUUGCAAAUCAAAAAAAAUCAUUGGCGCCAAGCGUGAGGGAAUGCUAGACGUUUAGUAAUUUCUCCUCCGACUAGGAUAAAAGAUCCCAUUGAAGCAGCCAAUCCCAUGCAUAUUGUCUGUACAUCUGGUUGCACAAAUUGCAUAGUAUCAUAAAUAGCCACUCCAGGUAUUACCCAUCCGCCAGGAGAGUUUAUAAACAAAUAAAGAUCUUUGGUAUCACUCUCUAUACUGAGAUAUACCAUAAGACCAAUAAGUUGAUUUGAGAUUUCGCUAUCAACCUCUUGGCCUAAAAAAAGCAAUCUUUCUCGAUAAAGUCGGUUGGUUAGGAUAAAAUCAAAUUGUAUCCUUUAGGAGCCGUACAGGCACCUUUUGAUGCAUACGGUUCGCCAAAAAUUGCGAACAAAAUCAAUGCGUAGAUUCCAGCCCUCUUGCUUUUUUCAUAUUUCAUAGCAGACUUUUUAUAACUUCUAAGAAAGAGCCUUUUUUCUUCCGUUUUUAAAGAAAGAUGAGUUUUGGCCCUUUUCCUAUAAUCCUAUAAUAUAAAAAAAAUUAACUAAGCUUAUCGGACUAACUUCUCAUUGAUGUUUUUUUUCAUCGAGAUAAAAUCCAAAUCGCGAUGCGUUUUCUUGUUCCUGAAUGGGCUUCUUCCAUUUUUUAUUCAAUUUAGGUUUAGGCUCUACUCCGAGUAAAGAUCUGCCCGAUUUAGAUUUGCACAUAUAGGACAAAUCAACCAAAUACCGCGUCUUUUUCUACGACUUCCUUUUUUUUUCAAUUCAUUUCUUUCAUGUCUUCCAUCAAAUAUUCAACGUAUUAAUCAUAUUAUUCUUAUUCGACUGAUUAACAGUUGAGAUCGCUCCUAUUUAGAAUUUAUUUCUAAAUAGAGUCAUUUAUGAUAUAAGUGGUAAUCAUCGAUAUAUUACCAAUUUGGUUUUUGCUAAACGGAGCCUGGAUACUUCAUUUUAUUGGUCCAACCAAGUCAACCAUAAAUCAUUCUAAUUGAUAAUAUUAAUCUGAAUACCCCCCCAAAAAAUGGAUCUAAUUCCACUUCAUUGCACUUCACGCUACAAAUUCUUGACAAUUCAAUCAAUUUUUUUGGGCGAAACAGAGGAUAUCUCGAUCGGGAGAGAGAAUGGGGAAAUCCCAUAUGGCCCAAUAUAUCUUACAAGUCGCACUAUACGUCAACCCAAGAUGCAUCUUCCUCUCCAGGACUUCGAAAAGGCACUUUUGGAACACCAAUAGGCAUUAAAUGAAAGAAAAAAGAAUUAAGUACUCUAUUUCACUUUGAUGUGGAAGCGUAACAAUGGGUUUAUUGUCUUAAUAUAAUAAUAUUGGCCUUUAUCAUACUUUAUUUAUUAUUUAUUCUAUUUUAUACAUAGAUUGAAUAAGGUCAUAAAAUAGAAAAUAAAAUAAAUAAAGGUAAAGAAAGACAGAAUGAAUAAAAAUAAAGGAAAAUUUUUACGAAUAGGUCCUUUGAAUGAUGAACAAAUAUGGAUACGUUCGUUCAUAGAAAAUAGGCUUAAGGUUAACCCCCAUUGCGUCUUGGUACUUAUCGGAUAUAGAAUAGAUCUGCUUCUCUUUUUUCCUAUCAACCGAAUUGUUCCAUUAUUACUAAAAGAAUAGAACAAAUAUUAAUCCUUUCUCCGUAAUAAUACACUGAAAGGGAGGAGGGCGAUAGCAUAGUUUUUUUCCAAUGCAAUAAAGUUACAUCGUGUCUAUUUUUCGUUGAUAAAGGGGUAUUUCCAUGGGUUUGCCUUGGUAUCGUGUUCAUACCGUCGUAUUGAAUGAUCCCGGCCGUUUACUUUCUGUUCAUAUAAUGCAUACAGCUUUAGUUGCUGGUUGGGCCGGUUCUAUGGCUCUAUAUGAAUUAGCAGUUUUUGAUCCCUCUGACCCCGUUCUUGAUCCAAUGUGGAGACAAGGUAUGUUCGUUAUACCCUUCAUGACUCGUUUAGGAAUAACUAAUUCAUGGGGCGGUUGGAGUAUUACAGGAGGGACUAUAACGAAUCCGGGUCUUUGGAGUUACGAAGGUGUAGCCGGAGCGCAUAUCGUGUUUUCUGGCUUGUGCUUCUUGGCAGCUAUCUGGCAUUGGGUGUAUUGGGAUCUAGAAAUAUUUUGUGAUGAACGUACAGGAAAACCUUCUUUGGAUUUGCCCAAGAUCUUUGGAAUUCAUUUAUUUCUUUCAGGAGUGGCUUGUUUUGGGUUUGGCGCAUUUCAUGUAACAGGAUUAUAUGGUCCUGGAAUAUGGGUGUCCGACCCUUAUGGACUAACCGGAAAGGUACAACCUGUAAAUCCAGCGUGGGGCGUAGAAGGUUUUGAUCCUUUUGUUCCAGGAGGAAUAGCCUCUCAUCAUAUUGCAGCAGGGACAUUGGGCAUAUUAGCGGGCUUAUUCCAUCUUAGUGUCCGUCCGCCCCAACGUCUAUACAAAGGAUUACGUAUGGGAAAUAUUGAAACCGUCCUUUCCAGUAGUAUCGCUGCUGUCUUUUUUGCAGCUUUUGUUGUUGCUGGAACUAUGUGGUAUGGUUCAGCAACUACCCCCAUCGAAUUAUUUGGUCCUACUCGUUAUCAAUGGGAUCAGGGAUACUUCCAGCAAGAAAUAUAUCGAAGAGUUAGUGCUGGGCUAGCCGAAAAUCAAAGUUUAUCAGAAGCUUGGUCUAAAAUUCCUGAAAAAUUAGCUUUUUAUGAUUACAUCGGCAAUAAUCCGGCGAAAGGGGGAUUAUUCAGAGCGGGUUCAAUGGACAACGGGGAUGGAAUAGCUGUUGGGUGGUUAGGACACCCUAUCUUUAGAGAUAAAGAAGGGCGUGAACUUUUUGUACGUCGUAUGCCUACUUUUUUUGAAACAUUUCCGGUUGUUUUGGUAGACGGAGAUGGAAUUGUUAGAGCCGAUGUUCCUUUUAGAAGGGCAGAAUCGAAAUAUAGUGUUGAACAAGUAGGCGUAACUGUUGAGUUCUAUGGCGGCGAACUUAAUGGAGUGAGUUAUAGCGAUCCCGCGACUGUCAAAAAAUAUGCUAGACGCGCUCAAUUGGGUGAAAUUUUUGAAUUAGAUCGUGCUACUUUGAAAUCCGACGGUGUUUUUCGUAGCAGUCCAAGAGGUUGGUUUACUUUUGGGCAUGCUUCGUUUGCUCUGCUCUUCUUCUUCGGACACAUUUGGCAUGGUGCUAGAACCCUGUUCAGAGAUGUUUUUGCUGGUAUUGAUCCAGAUUUGGAUGCUCAGGUGGAAUUUGGAGCAUUCCAAAAACUUGGAGAUCCAACUACAAGAAGACAAGUAGUCUGAUGCAACACUGCUUCGUUACUUUUCGCUUCUAUUUUCUGUUUGCGAUUUGACAUAGGUACUGGAGAAAUCUUGAUUUAAAUCGCUGCCUUUUCUUUGACUCUUGUUCUUUCUUUAUCCGGGGGAUCAUCCCAAAUAAACAAAACAGGUAUGGAAGCUAUAAUUGUAAACCACGAUCGAAUUUAUGGAAGCAUUGGUUUAUACAUUCCUCUUAGUAUCGACUUUAGGGAUCAUUUUUUUCGCUAUCUUUUUUCGGGAACCACCUAAAGUUCCAACUAAAAAAACAAAAUGAUUUUUCAUUAUCUUAAUUGAAGUAAUCAGCCUCCCAAUAUUGGGAGGCUGAUUACUUCAACUAGUCCCCGUGUUCUUCGAACGGAUCUCUUAGUUGUUGAGAGGGUUGCCCAAAGGCAGUAUAUAGGGCGUACCCCGUAAAACUUACAAGUAACCCAGAUAUAGAGAUGGCGACUAGGGUUGCUGUUUCCAUUAUUAUAUAAUUUCAAGACCACAAUGGAUCUAUGCUAAGAUCGUUUAUUUACAACGGAAUGGUAUACAAAGUCAACAGAUCUCAAUGAAUACAAAAUAAGAUUUAUGGCUACACAAACCGUUGAGGAUAGUUCUAGAUCUGGUCCAAGACGAACUGUUGUAGGGGAUUUAUUGAAACCAUUGAAUUCA